rnacentral:tRNA from 1 species
UCCCCUGUGGUCCAAUGGUGAAGACUCCACACCACCACUGCAGGGGGCCCAGGUUCAAUCCCUGGUUGGGGAA